rnacentral:miRNA from 1 species
UGCCUGUGGUGGCUUGGUUGUGAGGCAGUGAUGGGCUGAGCUGGAGCUGCUGGGGAUAGCCCUUCUACCUUCCACAGUGCUCUCACUGAUGAUCCUUUGCAG